AUUGAACGCUGGCGGCAGGCCUAACACAUGCAAGUCGAACGAGUGGCGGACGGGUGAGUAAUGUCUGGGAAACUGCCUGAUGGAGGGGGAUCACUACUGGAAACGGGCGCUAAUCCCGUAUACCCUCAGAUGUGCCCAGAUGGGAUUAGCGAGUUGGUGGGGUAACGGCUCACCAAGGCGACGCUCCCUAGCUGGUCUGAGAGGAUGACCAGCCACACUGGAACUGAGACACGGUCCAGACUCCUACGGGAGGCAGCAGUGGGGAAUAUUGCACAAUGGGCGCAAGCCUGAUGCAGCCAUGCCGCGUGUAUGAAGAAGGCCUUCGGGUUGUAAAGUACUUUCAGCGGGGAGGCGUUACCCGCAGAAGAAGCACCGGCUAACUCCGUGCCAGCAGCCGCGGUAAUAC
rnacentral:rRNA from 1 species